AAAAUUUUAUUAUAAUUUAGUAUAUUUUAUUGUCUAUAAAAAGGUUAAAAUUUUU
rnacentral:tRNA from 1 species